GCAAGUCAAAUGGGGAUUUUUCCGCAACUCUCGGAUAUGCUGACACUUGCUCACACUUCCUAAUACCAGAGCUACCCCUAACCCUACCAACCCCUAAACUGACUAAUACCCUCGGUGACUCCUUCCCCCUAAGGAUCCGUGUCUCACAUAUUCCCUAAAAGGAUUCGUUCCAAACCUACUAUCUUCCUGACUUAUAAGUCGCCAUAGCCUUUAGUCCUCAUAGUUGGUUAUCACUCAAGCUGCCCGAUUAUCUCUUCGUCCACCUUCGUCUACCUCGAUGUCAUGAUCCUCCCUACUUCCUGCGUACUUGACGCCAUCGUUGAUUGGACAUUUAAAUAAUUUCACCUGAUAUUACUACUUUUACGUUUUGUCGAUAUUGCAUUAUUAUAUUAAAUUGAUUACUACUAUUAGUUCCAUUUCGUUGCAACACCUA